GACGAACCGUGCGAACGUUAUUCGGAAUCAUUGGGCUUAAAGCGCGUGUAGGCGGCUCGGUAAGUCUGCUGUGAAAGUCCAGGGCUCAACCCUGGGAUGCCGGUGGAUACUGUCGAGCUCGAGUCCGGAAGAGGCGAGUGGAAUUCCUGGUGUAGCGGUGAAAUGCGCAGAUAUCAGGAGGAACACCAAUGGCGAAGGCAGCUCGCUGGGACGUGACUGACGCUGAGACGCGAAAGCGUGGGGAGCAAACAGG
rnacentral:rRNA from 1 species